UUCUUUGCAAUUUUUCUAAUUUUGGCGCACAAUGUGGCUGCUGGUUUUCCAGCUAUGGCGAUAAACGCGUUGCGGAAUAAGCGUUGCGGACCCGGGGGCAGUGCCCGGCGCCUCCACCAAAUAUCUCUCCCUGCUUGCCAUCCUUCGGGGUCG
rnacentral:tmRNA from 1 species